AUCGGUACGGGUUGUGGGAGCAAGAGCCCGGAGAUGGAUUCUGAGACACGAAUCCAGGCCCUACGGGGCGCAGCAGGCGCGAAAACUUUGCAAUGCGGGAAACCGUGACAAGGGAACUCUGAGUGCCCGUAAAAUCGGGCUGUCCAUCAGUUUAAACAACUGGUGAAGAAAGGGCCGGGCAAGACCGGUGCCAGCCGCCGCGGUAAUACCGGCGGCUCGGGUGGUGGCCACUAUUACUGGGCUUAAAGCGUUCGUAGCUGGUCUGUUAAGUCCCUGGGGAAAUCUUCCGGCUUAACCGGAAGGCGUCUCAGAGAUACUGGCAGACUAGGGACCGGAAGAGGUGAGAGGUACUCCAGGGGUAGGAGUGAAAUCCUGUAAUCCUUGGGGGACCACCUGUGGCGAAGGCGUCUCACCAGAUCGGCUCCGACAGUGAGGGACGAAAGCUGGGGGAGCAAACCGGAUUAGAUACCCGGGUAGUCCCAGCUGUAAACGAUGCGCGUUAGGUGUAUCAGUGACCACGAGUUACUGAGGUGCCGAAGAGAAGUCGUGAAACGCGCCGCCUGGGAAGUACGGUCGCAAGGCUGAAACU
rnacentral:rRNA from 1 species